CCUACGGGAGGCAGCAGUGGGGAAUAUUGGACAAUGGGGGGAACCCUGAUCCAGCGACGCCGCGUGAGUGAAGAAGUAUUUCGGUAUGUAAAGCUCUAUCAGCAGGGAAGAAAAUGACGGUACCUGACUAAGAAGCCCCGGCUAACUACGUGCCAGCAGCCGCGGUAAUACGUAGGGGGCAAGCGUUAUCCGGAUUUACUGGGUGUAAAGGGAGCGUAGACGGUGCAGCAAGUCUGAUGUGAAAGGUCGGGGCUCAACCCAGGGGCUGCCGUUGAAACCGGAGCGCUAGAAUUCCGAUGCCGUAGGAGGAAUGUGUGGUGUAGCGGUGAAAUGCAUAGAUAUCACACAGAACACCGAUUGCGAAGGCAUCUGACGAAUCGGAGAUUGACGCUGAUGCACGAAAGCGUGGGUAUCGAACAGGAUUAGAUACCCGGGUAGUC
rnacentral:rRNA from 1 species